rnacentral:ncRNA from 1 species
CGGUAACUCCGAGUCCGUCAACGGAUAGGAGUAACGGCUGUUUGGCACAGCCAUCGGUACGCCUGUUCGAUAAGUCGACGGGGAGAGUAGCCCCACAAGAACAGGUUGUCCCGUAGACCACAAUAUCCCAACGUGGGAAUCCCACGGCUGAAGCCGUGGGA